rnacentral:rRNA from 2 species
UAGCGGCGGACGGGUGAGUAACACGUGGGUAACCUGCCUGUAAGACUGGGAUAACUCCGGGAAACCGGGGCUAAUACCGGAUGGUUGUUUGAACCGCAUGGUUCAAACAUAAAAGGUGGCUUCGGCUACCACUUACAGAUGGACCCGCGGCGCAUUAGCUAGUUGGUGAGGUAACGGCUCACCAAGGCAACGAUGCGUAGCCGACCUGAGAGGGUGAUCGGCCACACUGGGACUGAGACACGGCCCAGACUCCUACGGGAGGCAGCAGUAGGGAAUCUUCCGCAAUGGACGAAAGUCUGACGGAGCAACGCCGCGUGAGUGAUGAAGGUUUUCGGAUCGUAAAGCUCUGUUGUUAGGGAAGAACAAGUACCGUUCGAAUAGGGCGGUACCUUGACGGUACCUAACCAGAAAGCCACGGCUAACUACGUGCCAGCAGCCGCGGUAAUACGUAGGUGGCAAGCGUUGUCCGGAAUUAUUGGGCGUAAAGGGCUCGCAGGCGGUUUCUUAAGUCUGAUGUGAAAGCCCCCGGCUCAACCGGGGAGGGUCAUUGGAAACUGGGGAACUUGAGUGCAGAAGAGGAGAGUGGAAUUCCACGUGUAGCGGUGAAAUGCGUAGAGAUGUGGAGGAACACCAGUGGCGAAAGGCGACUCUCUGGUCUGUAACUGACGCUGAGGAGCGAAAGCGUGGGGAGCGAACAGGAUUAGAU